rnacentral:rRNA from 1 species
UUAAGCGACUAAGCGUACACGGUGGAUGCCCUGGCAGUCAGAGGCGAUGAAGGACGUGCUAAUCUGCGAAAAGCGUCGGUAAGGUGAUAUGAACCGUUAUAACCGGCGAUGUCCGAAUGGGGAAACCCAGUGCAAUUCGUUGCACUAUCGUUAACUGAAUACAUAGGUUAACGAGGCGAACCGGGGGAACUGAAACAUCUAAGUACCCCGAGGAAAAGAAAUCAACCGAGAUUCCCCCAGUAGCGGCGAGCGAACGGGGAGCAGCCCAGAGUCUGAAUCAGCUUGUGUGUUAGUGGAACGGUCUGGAAAGUCCGACGGUACAGGGUGAUAGUCCCGUACACCAAAAUGCACAGGCUGUGAACUCGAAGAGUAGGGCGGGACACGUGGUAUCCUGUCUGAAUAUGGGGGGACCAUCCUCCAAGGCUAAAUACUCCUGACUGACCGAUAGUGAACCAGUACCGUGAGGGAAAGGCGAAAAGAACCCCGGCGAGGGGAGUGAAAAAGAACCUGAAACCGUGUACGUACAAGCAGUGGGAGCACCUUCGGGUGUGACUGCGUACCUUUUGUAUAAUGGGUCAGCGACUUAUAUUCUGUAGCAAGGUUAACCGUAUAGGGGAGCCGCAGGGAAACCGAGUCUUAACUGGGCGUUAAGUUGCAGGGUAUAGACCCGAAACCCGGUGAUCUAGCCAUGGGCAGGUUGAAGGUUGGGUAACACUAACUGGAGGACCGAACCGACUAAUGUUGAAAAAUUAGCGGAUGACUUGUGGCUGGGGGUGAAAGGCCAAUCAAACCGGGAGAUAGCUGGUUCUCCCCGAAAGCUAUUUAGGUAGCGCCUCGUGAACUCAUCUUCGGGGGUAGAGCACUGUUUCGGCUAGGGGGUCAUCCCGACUUACCAACCCGAUGCAAACUACGAAUACCGAAGAAUGUUAUCACGGGAGACACACGGCGGGUGCUAACGUCCGUCGUGAAGAGGGAAACAACCCAGACCGCCAGCUAAGGUCCAAAGUCAUGGUUAAGUGGGAAACGAUGUGGGAAGGCACAGACAGCCAGGAUGUUGGCUUAGAAGCAGCCAUCAUUUAAAGAAAGCGUAAUAGCUCACUGGUCGAGUCGGCCUGCGCGGAAGAUGUAACGGGGCUAAACCAUGCACCGAAGCUGCGGCAGCGACACUAUGUGUUGUUGGGUAGGGGAGCGUUCUGUAAGCCUGCGAAGGUGUGCUGUGAGGCAUGCUGGAGGUAUCAGAAGUGCGAAUGCUGACAUAAGUAACGAUAAAGCGGGUGAAAAGCCCGCUCGCCGGAAGACCAAGGGUUCCUGUCCAACGUUAAUCGGGGCAGGGUGAGUCGACCCCUAAGGCGAGGCCGAAAGGCGUAGUCGAUGGGAAACAGGUUAAUAUUCCUGUACUUGGUGUUACUGCGAAGGGGGGACGGAGAAGGCUAUGUUAGCCGGGCGACGGUUGUCCCGGUUUAAGCAUGUAGGCUGGUUAUCCAGGCAAAUCCGGAUAAUCAAGGCUGAGGUGUGAUGACGAGGCACUACGGUGCUGAAGUAACAAAUGCCCUGCUUCCAGGAAAAGCCUCUAAGCAUCAGGUAACAUCAAAUCGUACCCCAAACCGACACAGGUGGUCAGGUAGAGAAUACCAAGGCGCUUGAGAGAACUCGGGUGAAGGAACUAGGCAAAAUGGUGCCGUAACUUCGGGAGAAGGCACGCUGGUGUGUAGGUGAAGUCCCUGCGGAUGGAGCUGAGACCAGUCGAAGAUACCAGCUGGCUGCAACUGUUUAUUAAAAACACAGCACUGUGCAAACACGAAAGUGGACGUAUACGGUGUGACGCCUGCCCGGUGCCGGAAGGUUAAUUGAUGGGGUUAUCCGUAAGGAGAAGCUCUUGAUCGAAGCCCCGGUAAACGGCGGCCGUAACUAUAACGGUCCUAAGGUAGCGAAAUUCCUUGUCGGGUAAGUUCCGACCUGCACGAAUGGCGUAAUGAUGGCCAGGCUGUCUCCACCCGAGACUCAGUGAAAUUGAACUCGCUGUGAAGAUGCAGUGUACCCGCGGCAAGACGGAAAGACCCCGUGAACCUUUACUAUAGCUUGACACUGAACAUUGAGCCUUGAUGUGUAGGAUAGGUGGGAGGCUUUGAAGCGUGGACGCCAGUCUGCGUGGAGCCAACCUUGAAAUACCACCCUUUAAUGUUUGAUGUUCUAACGUUGGCCCCUGACCGGGGUUGCGGACAGUGUCUGGUGGGUAGUUUGACUGGGGCGGUCUCCUCCCAAAGCGUAACGGAGGAGCACGAAGGUUAGCUAAUCCUGGUCGGACAUCAGGAGGUUAGUGCAAUGGCAUAAGCUAGCUUGACUGCGAGCGUGACGGCGCGAGCAGGUGCGAAAGCAGGUCAUAGUGAUCCGGUGGUUCUGAAUGGAAGGGCCAUCGCUCAACGGAUAAAAGGUACUCCGGGGAUAACAGGCUGAUACCGCCCAAGAGUUCAUAUCGACGGCGGUGUUUGGCACCUCGAUGUCGGCUCAUCACAUCCUGGGGCUGAAGUAGGUCCCAAGGGUAUGGCUGUUCGCCAUUUAAAGUGGUACGCGAGCUGGGUUUAGAACGUCGUGAGACAGUUCGGUCCCUAUCUGCCGUGGGCGCUGGAGAAUUGAGGGGGGCUGCUCCUAGUACGAGAGGACCGGAGUGGACGCAUCACUGGUGUUCGGGUUGUCAUGCCAAUGGCACUGCCCGGUAGCUAAAUGCGGAAGAGAUAAGUGCUGAAAGCAUCUAAGCACGAAACUUGCCCCGAGAUGAGUUCUCCCUGAGACUUUAAGUCUCCUGAAGGAACGUUGAAGACGACGACGUUGAUAGGCCGGGUGUGUAAGCGCAGCGAUGCGUUGAGCUAACCGGUACUAAUGAACCGUGAGGCUUAACCUU